rnacentral:rRNA from 1 species
UACGAAGGGGGCGAGCGUUGUUCGGAUUUACUGGGCGUAAAGGGCGCGUAGGCGGCCCUGUUUGUCGCGUGUGAAAGCCCCGGGCUCAAACCCGGGGAACUGCGUCCGAUACUGGCAGGCUUGAAUCCGGGAGAGGGAUGCGGAAUUCCAGGUGUAGCGGUGAAAUGCGUAGAUAUCUGGAGGAACACCGGUGGCGAAGGCGGCAUCCUGGACCGGUAUUGACGCUGAGGCGCGAAAGCGUGGGGAGCAAACAGG